GGAAUUUUGCCUGAUGGGGGCAACCCUGACGUGUGAACACCGCUGAGGAAGAAGGCCUUUGGGUCGUAAAACUCUGUCAAUGGGGAAGAAGUUGCAGGGUUCUGACAUGGCCUUGUAUUGACGGUACCCAUGAAGGAAGCCCGGCUAACUCCGUGCCAGAGGGUGCGGUAAUACGGAGGGUGCAAGCGUUAUUCGGAAUUAUUGGGCGUAAAGGGCGCGUAGGCGGCCUGUUAAGUCAUAUGUGAAAUUUAGGGGCUUAACCACCUGUCUGGCUGUGAUGCUGGAAAGCUUGAGUAUGGCCCGGAAAGCGGAAUUCCUGCGUGUAGAUCUGAAAUGAAUACAUAUGGCGAGGAACACCUUCUGGACUGACACGCUCUCUGAACCAAUACUGACGCUGAUGCACAAAGGCUUGGAUACCCUACAGGACUACAUCCCCUGCUAUUUCACCCA
rnacentral:rRNA from 1 species